rnacentral:rRNA from 1 species
AUUGAACGCUGGCGGCGGGCCUAACACAUGCAAGUCGAACGAGUGGCGGACGGGUGAGUAAGGUCUGGGAAACUGCCUGAUGGAGGGGGCUGACUACUGGAAACGGUAGCUAAUACCGCAUACCAUCAGAUGGGCCCAGGUGGGAUUAGCUAGUUGGUGGGGUAACGGCUCACCAAGGCGACGAUCCCUAGCUGGUCUGAGAGGAUGACCGGCCACACUGGAACUGAGACACGGCCCAGACUCCUACGGGAGGCAGCAGUGGGGAAUAUUGCACAAUGGGCGAAAGCCUGAUGCAGCCAUGCCGCGUGUAUGAAGAAGGUCUUCGGGUUGUAAAGCACUGUCAGCGGGGAGGCGUUACCUGCAGAAGAAGCAACGGCUAACUACGUGCCAGCAGCCGCGGUAAUAC